rnacentral:misc_RNA from 1 species
GUGUUGGAUGGCUCGGCGAGGGCUUCGGCCCCCGCCCCUCCUAAAGAAAAUGACGGCGGCCUCGUUGGACCCCCGGUACACUGAGUUCUUCACGGGACACGUACUGGACACAAGGGCCCACGGGACACGGUCUCACUCCCCUCGGGAGAACUUUUAUCAAGGUUGACCUCGGAUCAGGUAGGGAUACCCGCUGAACUUAA